rnacentral:rRNA from 1 species
GGAGUUAGCCGGUGCUUCUUCUGUGAGUGAUGUCCUUCCUGCCGGCUAUUAACCCGCAGGCCUUCUUCCUCACUGAAAGUGCUUUACAACCCGAAGGCCUUCUUCACACACGCGGCAUGGCUGGAUCAGGGUUGCCCCCAUUGUCCAAUAUUCCCCACUGCUGCCUCCCGUAGGAGUCUGGGCCGUGUCUCAGUCCCAGUGUGGCUGAUCAUCCUCUCAGACCAGCUACGGAUCGUCGCCUUGGUGAGCCGUUACCUCACCAACCAGCUAAUCCGACAUAGGCUCAUCCGAUAGCGCGAGGCCCGAAGGUCCCCCGNUUUCCCCCGUAGGGCGUAUGCGGUAUUAGCCUGGGUUUCCCCCAGGUUAUCCCCCACUACCGGGCAGAUUCCUAUGCAUUACUCACCCGUCCGCCGCUCGCCACCAGGGAGCAAGCUCCCCGUGCUGCCGCUCGACUUGCNUGUGUAGCUGCCGCAGCGUCAUCUGAGCAGAACUACAACUACUGA